GGCUCGGUGGUGUAGUUGGUUAUCACGUCAGUCUAACAUAGGUUAGUUCACUGAAGGUCCCGAGUUCAAACCUCGGCUGAGUCA
rnacentral:tRNA from 1 species